rnacentral:rRNA from 1 species
AACGAACGCUGGCGGCAUGCCUAACACAUGCAAGUCGAACGAGACCUUCGGGCCUAGUGGCGCACGGGUGCGUAACGCGUGGGAACCUGCCCUUAGGUUCGGAAUAACUCCCCGAAAGGGGUGCUAAUACCGGAUAAUGCCUUCGGACCAAAGAUUUAUCGCCUUUGGAUGGGCCCGCGUUGGAUUCGCUAGUUGGUAGGGUAAACGCAUACCAAGGCGACGAUCCAUAGCUGGUCUGAGAGGAUGAUCAGCCACACUGGAGCUGAGACACGGCCCAGACUCCUACGGAAGGCAGCAGUGGGUAAUAUUGGACAAUGAGCGAAAGCCUAAUCCAGCAAUGCCGCGUAAGUGAUGAAGGCCUUAGGGUUGUAAAGCUCUUUUACCCGGGAUGAUAAUGACAGUACCGGGAGAAUAAGCUCCGGCUAACUCCGUG